rnacentral:rRNA from 1 species
CAGCCGCCGCGGUAAUGCGUAGGGCGCGAGCGUUAAUCGGAAUUACUGGGCGUAAAGCGUGCGCAGGCGGUUGUGUAAGACAGGUGUGAAGUCCCCGGGCUUAACCUGGGAACUGCGCUUGUGACUGCACAGCUAGAGUAUGGCAGAGGGGGGUGGAAUUCCACGUGUAGCAGUGAAAUGCGUAGAGAUGUGGAGGAACACCGAAGGCGAAGGCAGCCCCCUGGGCCAAUACUGACGCUCAUGCACGAAAGCGUGGGGAGCAAACAGGAUUAGAUACCCCCGUAGUCCCUGUCUCUUAUAC